rnacentral:misc_RNA from 1 species
ACAAACUUGGUCAUUUAGAGGAAGUAAAAGUCGUAACAAGGUUUCCGUAGGUGAACCUGCGGAAGGAUCAUUACAAAUCAUGGCGAACCUCGCGUUUCGGCGAGGUCUUGCGUCCAUUUUCGUAUUUAAAACAUCCCACUCUUUGAAAAAUAUUUAUCUAAUGAUAAAAAUAAGAAAGAUCACUUUCAACAACGGAUCUCUUGGCUCUCUUAGAGGAAGUAAAAGUCGUAACAAGGUUUCCGUAGGUGAACCUGCGGAAGGAUCAUUACAAAUCAUGGCGAACCUCGCGUUUCGGCGAGGUCUUGCGUCCAUUUUCGUAUUUAAAACAUCCCACUCUUUGAAAAAUAUUUAUCUAAUGAUAAAAAUAAGAAAGAUCACUUUCAACAACGGAUCUCUUGGCUCUCGCAUCGAUGAAGAACGCAGC